GAUAUUCCUGUACCACCUAGCAUCGUUUUAAAUCGAUGGGGGGACGCAGUAGGAUAGCGAAAAGCGUACGAUUGGAUUGUACGUCUAAAAGCAGUGAGAUUGAGUGUUAGGCAAAAUCCGGCACUCUUAAGAUUGAGCUGUGAUGGGGAGAGGAAAAUUGUUUCCUCGAGUCGUUGAUUUCACACUGCCGAGAAAAAAGCCUCUAGAUAGAUAAAUAGGUGCCCGUACCGCAAAAACCGACACAGGUAGUCAAAGAUGAGAAAUUCUAAAGGUGAGCGAGCGAACUCUCGUUAAAGGAAACUCGGCAAAAAAUGACCCCGUAACUUCGGGAGAAAGGGGUGCUCUUUAGGGUGCAAAGCCCAGAAAGAGCGCAGUGAAUAGGCCCAAAGCGACUGUUUAUCAAAAAAAACACAGGUCUUUGCUAAAAACCGUAAAGGUGAUGUAUAGGGGCUGACGCCUGCCCGGUGCUGGAAAGGUUAAAGAGGAGUGGUUAGCUUCUGCGAAAGCUACGAAAUCGAAGCCCCAGUAAAACGGCGGCCGUAAACUAUAAACGGUCCUAAAGGUAGCGAAAAUUCCUUGUCGGGUAAGUUCCGACCCGCACGAAAAGGCGUAACGAUUUGGGCACUGUCUCAACGAGAGACUCGGUGAAAAUCAUAGUACCUG
rnacentral:rRNA from 1 species